GACGAACGCUGGCGGUGUGCUUCAUACAUGCAAGUCGAACGAGAAGUCUGAAGCUUGCUUCAGAGGAAAGUGGCGGACGGGUGAGUAAUAUGUAGGAAAUCUGCCUUUAGGUUGGGGACAACAGAGGGAAACUUCUGCUAAUACCCGAUAUGAGCUUAGUUGAAAUACUAAUCUUGAAAGUUCCGGCGCCUAGAGAUGAGCCUGCACCUGAUUAGCUAGUUGGUACGUGUAAUGGACUACCAAGGCGACGAUCAGUAGCUGGUUUGAGAGGAUGAUCAGCCACAAUGGGACUGAGACACGGCCCGAUACUCCUACGGGAGGCAG
rnacentral:rRNA from 1 species